rnacentral:tRNA from 1 species
UGCCCAGGUGGCGGAAUUGGUAGACGCAAGGGACUUAAAAUCCCUCGGAUUUUUUUCUUCCGUGCCGGUUCAAGUCCGGCCCCGGGCACCAC